rnacentral:rRNA from 1 species
CAAUAGCGUAUAUUAAAGUUGUUGCAGUUAAAAAGCUCGUAGUUGGAUUUCUGGUAGGAGUGACCGUUCCGAACUUGAUUGUUCGUGUAUUGUGUUUUCUCCAGCCAUCCUUGUGGAGAACUUUUCUUGCAUUAAUUUGUAGGGAUUGGGACCCGCAUCGUUUACUGUGAAAAAAUUAGAGUGUUCAAAGCAGGCAUCGCCGUUGAAUACAUUAGCAUGGAAUAAUAAGAUAAGACUUUGGUGGUCUAUUUUGUUGGUUUGCACGCCAAAGUAAUGAUUAAUAGGGAUAGUUGGGGGUAUUCGUAUUCUAUUGCUAGAGGUGAAAUUCUUAAAUUUAUGGAAGACGAGCUACUGCGAAAGCAUUUACCAAGGAUGUUUUCAUUAA